CUGGGAAUCUUGUACGAAGACAAGGAGAGACAGGACUUCAUCUUCACCAUCUACCACUGGUGGCAGGCUGUGGCCAUCUUCACCGUGUACCUGGGCUCGAGCCUGCACAUGAAGGCUAAGCUGGCGGUGCUGCUGGUGACGCUGGUGGCGGCCGCGGUCUCCUACCUGCGGAUGGAGCAGAAGCUGCGGCGGGGCGUGGCCCCGCGCCUGCCCCGCAUCCCGCGGCCCCAGCACAAGGUGCGCGGUUACCGCUACUUGGAGGAGGACAACUCGGACGAGAGCGACGCGGAGGGCGAG
rnacentral:lncRNA from 1 species